rnacentral:rRNA from 1 species
AUUGACCGCUGGCGGCAUGCCUUACACAUGCAAGUCGAACGGCAGCGCGGGGGCAACCCUGGCGGCGAGUGGCGAACGGUUGAGUAAUACAUCGGAACGUGUCCUGGAGUGGGGGAUAGCCCGGCGAAAGCCGGAUUAAUACCGCAUACGAUCUUGGGAUGAAAGCGGGGGACCGAAAGGCCUCGCGCUCAAGGGGCGGCCGAUGGCAGAUUAGCUAGUUGGUGGGGUAAAGGCCUACCAAGGCGACGAUCUGUAGCUGGUCUGAGAGGACGACCAGCCACACUGGGACUGAGACACGGCCCAGACUCCUACGGGAGGCAGCAGUGGGGAAUUUUGGACAAUGGGGGCAACCCUGAUCCAGCAAUGCCGCGUGUGUGAAGAAGGCCUUCGGGUUGUAAAGCACUUUUGUCCGGAAAGAAAACCUCCGUCCUAAUACGGUGGGGGGAUGACGGUACCGGGAGGAUAAGCACCGGCUAACUACGUGC